GUUCCCUUUAUUGUCUCAAAGAUUCAAUCCAAUGUCUUCACUAAUCGUGGAAUUUCAGAAUCCUAAGUCCUGGCUCUAGUGCCUCUAACCGGCCACUGGGUUUAGCUAAGUUCUUGUACUUUGAAUAUUUUCUCUUUUAGAAAUACAUGUCCAGUGGCAUAUAUAAGGUAAUUUUAAACAGUUUUAAGAGUAGAACAAAAAUAGAAGGCAAAAAUUUGUACAGUAGCAAGUUGUCUACAAGCUCAUUUAUUGUUUCUAAGCAUCAUGUCUAGAUAGAUACAACUUUAUCUACUAAGCUGUAUGGAUCUUCAUCAAUCUGGUGAGACUCCUGCAAGAGCUUCCCCGAAACUCUCCAGUUUUCCCUUCCUUCUGCAAUGCCAUUUUGAAGUUGUCAUGGAAAUGUUGAUUGUCUUGUACUCCUAGGUCUCUAAAUGUCCAGCAGCAAAUCUUAAGACUACCUUAAUGUUUUUUCAUGGAUUUGUCAAAUAAUUUGGGUUGGAAGGAACCUCAGGAAAUCAUCUAGUUCUACCUCUUGCUCAUGGUACAACUUAUAUUAAGCCAGUCAGAUCAGCUUUUUUGCUAAUUAACUAUUGAGUUAAGACAGUAUCAGACAUUGGGAACAUUUUUACAGCAAAAUCCCUGUAAAUGCCUAAAACACAUCUUAUAGAUGUAUUACUUUUCCUUGGUUGUAUUUUAUGUGCCUCUUAAUUUUCUUACCUUUCAAGCAAUACUUUCCUGAGUGUUCUGUUUGUAGCAAUGGAAAUGCUUUUGCCUAAUGACUUUUAUUAGGUUGCAGGCAGCUGGAACCGUGGCUGCCUUUCUCUGCCAGUGUGUAGAAACAGGGAAGUGGGAGGAGAGACUCAGUGUGGAGAAUGAAACAGAGAAAGGAGACAGGAGAUAUGGAACUCUUGUUCAGUAUCAUUGCAGUGUGUUAGGGUGCCUUUUCGAAAUGUGUUUGGGAGAAUCACACUCAAUGGUGUUUGCUGGCAGUGUGCAAAGAGCCUGUAAGAUUAGAGAUUUGGACAUGCUGCACCACAGCUUGAAGAGGAUAAUUCCAGCAGCAAGGGAGAGGGAAGUGCUGCUAGCUAUGGGACACCUGGCCAUUCACUAAGAAGGUGGAUUUUUAGUUGUUGUUGGGGAAUGAAAAUUGCCAACAAUUUUAAGUGUCUGUGAGCGAGUUGACCAGAUCUCUUAUCAGUACUGCUGCCUGUUUUAUGAGCACUAAAACUUGAUUGUGCUUUAGAGGAAACUAAGCAAGAUGUUGUACUAUUUCAAUUACUAGGCAAAACAAACUUGCCAGUGUUCAUGGGAAAGAAACUGCUUCCACAGAAGCUUAAAAGGAAAAACAAGGAACUUGGCUUACCUUGUGUACCAUUGAAGUGAUGUUUGUCAGUGAAAUAGUUUCAGAAUUGCAUCAACUAAGCUGAAGGGAAAUUAUUACCUCUAUAUGCAUAGCAUUCUGUGAAGUUUUAUAGUAAAGCAAACAUAACAGAAAUAAUUGCUAGUCUUGGAGCAGUAUGUGACACCUAAAGGGAAGGUUUAGCUGGUAUUGUGUGUAUGAUUCAUGGCAGGAGCAAAAGAUAGGAAACUAAGGCGGUAGUUCUGGGAAGUAUUCUGAUAUAAAUGAAUUCUAAAAGUAGUGUUCCAUUUGUUUAAACAAAAAAGAAAAAAAACAGUGUUUUUUUCCUCUGUGGGGGAUGCUGUGCAACCUUCCUUCUCUCAGGGGCCAGGAGACAUGAAAUAUUGAUGCAAUGGGAGAUACUUCUGUAGCAUUUUUGACAGAGUACCAUGGGGUAGGUCCUUUCAUCCCUUUUAUGUCUGAUGUGAGUUCUGAAAUUCUGUUCUUCAGUCAGACAAGUUGAUCUCCCUUAGGAAGUGGAAACUUCAUCAAGUACUGGUGGUCAGUCUGUUAAAUACUCUAAUUCAGGAGAUAAAAGGGGAGCUGGAGCUUUGUGGAAGGAGGCCUGUGUCUGAUUUUGAGAAGGCAAAGUUAGGCUGCUUCAAAAAGAAGAAAUAAUCCCUCACACCCCUUUCUGUUGUCUCAGGCUGCCUUUCUCGCUCCAGGGGGUGACAGUCCUACAGCAGGGCUUUGAGUAUCAUUGCAAUCUUAUGAUAUAUGUAGAUAUGUAUGUAAAUGAAAAUCUAAGAUUUGCAGAAGGCAAUAAAUCAUGUGUCCAUUUGCCUUGCAGAGUUUCCUAUCCACAGUUGGUGAGUGGGUGAGUGUAUUUGUUACUGGCAGAGCCUGUUGAAUCUAUAAUAUGCAAUUGUUUUAAAGAAAGUGAUAUUGUAAUCCAGCUUUCUAGAAUGUUUCCCGGUACUAAAAGUUUUAAAAGAAAUGCAAUUAGUUUAGGCUGGAGAUUUUGUCAAGAUUGGUUUCCCUUCUGGGAGUUGGCAUGGUUAUAGCUGUUAUUAGAUACUCAUUGUUUACUGAUGGUG